GUGGCGUUUCUGCAUUGACUAUCGUGCUCUUAACGCCAAGACAUCCAAGGACAAAUUUCCUAUACCUGUGGACGAUGAACUCCUGGACGAGCUACGUGGGGCCCGCUUCUUCACUAAGCUCGACCUUCGUUUCGUCUACCACCAGGUUCGGAUGCACCUGGACGACGUCGCGAAGACGACCUUUCCUACCCAUCACGGCCACUUCGAGUUCUUGGUGAUGCCUUUCGGCCUCUCCAAUGCCCCGGCGACAUUUCAGGCCUUGAUGAACGACGUCCUCCGCCCUUACUUGCGGCGGUUUGUGCUUGUGUUCUUCGACGACAUCCUCAUCUACAGCUCCUCAUGGGCAGAGCACGUGCAGCACGUUGCCAUCAUCUUCAACGAGCUUCGGGCGCACCGGCUUCUGUGUUGUAAUUGGAUUGUUUUUCGUAUCAGCGCCUGCUAAAUCGAUAAGUGAGGACCCGUAGUUUCCUAUUUAUGAAACGUAUACUCCAAUGCCAUUCUCAUAGUUGUAUUGUCUUAUCAUUCAAACUUUUCUUCAGAUUCUCACUGAUCCAUUCAUUUGAUAAGCCGUACGAUGAGAAUGCUCUAAGAUUGAUGAAGGCAUCUGCUUCUCUGAUGAUGGAGCGAUUCCCUGAUAUUAUCUUUGGAUAUUGCUUUAGCCAGUGGCGGAGGUACACUAUCAAAGUUGGGCGGGGCAGUACAAAGGAAAUUCACUAUUUUUUCUUUCACAGCUCAGUCUACUCUGAAUCCUCCACUACAUUUGCUACUGGCUGGGUGGGCUGUGGCCUACUUUUUGUACAUGUAGCUCCGCCAGUGGGUUUAGCAAUGAGUACAGAUUGGAUAUUCCCUGGUAUUAUUUUUGACUGUGAGGUUAGUAAUGAGAAUAUUGUGAAAAGGACAGGAAAAAAAUGUGGUUCUGCAUGGCACAAAAUGCCCUCUUCUCAUCAUACGAAGUUAUUUGAAUUGAAUAUAUUGGAAAGUAAGGUAUCCUGUAUCUUGUUAGUGCAAAUGUGAGUGCAAUGCACUUAGCAUAAGCAGGUAUUUUUACAUUUGUUGGAUGGCAAGCCUGGACAUUUGAUGCAAAUGCUCAUUUUUACUGUUUGUUAGUGUUGCAGCUUUGUGUUCCAGGAUCUCACAGGAUUAUAUCAGAGAGAUGAGAGGUACUCAUUUAAUUUUGUGGAUUUUGUACAGUACAUGUUUUGAACCGGCGAAGUUUAAGUGGUAAGAUAUGCGGCCUCUUUGGCACACUAAUUACUUCUUCAUGUUCAUCAUCUUUCACUUCUUUUUACAUGAUGAAGUGGAAAGAAUAUUUUCCCAACAAAGAAAUAGUGCAGCCACCACACUUCGACGCAGAAGUUCUCUGUUACCCAAAGCCAAAGAUUGUUUCAGAUUAUUUGUCAUGGAGACAAGCAGAAUUAUCCUGAUGCAACGGCUUGUGCAGACUUACAUGCAAGGAACUACAGAGGAAGAGCAAGUACAAUAGAGCUGAGUCAGCUGGCUAUAAGGAAUAAACUAAUAUAUUUUUAUUUAGUUAGAGAAACUAUUGUACAUGUUGGCUAUAUUAUUGUACUUGCUCUAAGGAGUUUUCAAGCAAGACUCCUCCCAAAUACAGUAGUGGAUAACAGCAUCUUGGGUUAGGUAUUAGAUAUGGUUUGGCUACAGCAGCCACCAGACUGUAUUCUGCAAGUUUUGUUGGACGAGAUCCCUUCUGGGGUAGUUUAAAUAAAGUACUUCCUCUAUAAAUUAAUAUAAAAAUAUUUAGAUAACUAAAAUAAUGAUCUAAUCGUUUUUAUAUUAAUUUAGUACGAGUUUUGAUUCUCAAAAAAGAAAUAAAAAAUGUCGAUCGGUGAAAUCUCUGGUGGGCCGGAUACAGCGUCAGCGCGCGUGCGUGCCGACUCGGCCCAUGCGGACGAGCGUACGGGUUUUAUACUCUAAUAAUUGUCCCACCUCGCCUGCUGUGGCACGCUGCGACCAGUUUAUAUACUGGUGGCCUCUAAUCCUAUUGCCUCCACGGGGACAACCAGCCGAGAAAGAGGCCUCAGAGCCCAAGAAAAGAGUAAAGAGGCCUCAGAGCCCACAGAAAAAAGAAAAGAGGCCAUAGAGCCCACAAAAAAAAUGAAAAGAGGCCUCAGCGCCCAUGAAAAGAGGCCAGAGCCGAAAAAAAGGACCUAGGCCCGUGCCCAAAGAAAAAAUAAAGGCUAAGUGCCCGUGGACGCUGUGCUAGACAUUAGCACAUGGCAUUUUGAUUUUUAAACCUUCUUUUAAUUACUAAUUUUUUUCUGAUACAAAAAAUGAAAAGAGGCCUCAGCGCCCAUGAAAAGAGGCCAGAGCCGAAUAAAAGGACCUAGGCCCGUGCCCAAAGAAAAAAUAAAGGCUAAGUGCCCGUGGACGCUGUGCUAGACAUUAGCACAUGGCAUUUU